rnacentral:tRNA from 1 species
GGAUAUAGUUCAGUGGCACAGCACCUGUCUGGCAAGCAUGAGGCCCUGAGUUCAAUUCUCAGUACCA